CAUUUCCAUUCAUUUGCUUAUGUUUUCUCUCAAGGUUAUGGAGUUAGAAAUGGUGCAGCACUCGGGGGAUAUGGAAGUCAACUUAACGGUAAACAGGUUCCAUGUUUACGCUACAAGCUGUUUGUGACCAUGCGGAUGUGUGAUUGUAAUGAUAUCAAUCGUUCUCCUCAGGACACGGAGCAGCCUCAAAACUCCACACCACCAAAGGAGUCGGAGCAGCGUCGCCCAGUCAAGGUGCAGCAACACUGGGCACAGGAUACGAUGGUGCUGCUGAUGCAUGGAGCGGACAGAUUGCUAAAGCAGCCAAUUCUGGCUAUGGCUCGUUGCCAAAUGCGAAGGCCUCAAAGACGACAGGAGCCUCCAGUGACUCGACACUUUAUGCUCUCUCUCCUGAGCAACUGGAUCCAGCACUACUGGGUUCCGUGCCUCAACCAGCAAUGAGCAACCAGCAACCUGCCCCUGAGCCAACGAGUGGAGUCCUGGUUAGAGUCACACCUGAGCAGCAUCAUUCACCUGUGCCACAAGGAAAAGCCUACAAACAGCCGCCUCAGGCGUUGUCGGAGCACCCACCAAUGCUUCUCCAGGGAAAAGGUCCCAAGCCGGCUCCACAGCCCACACCUGAAUCCGCACACAUGGGUCCAGAGGGGCCUGCAGCCGUCUUCACCCAGAGCAACCCACCCCCAGAACCAGCGGCGGUCCUGCCUGAAGGGAUCGGAGGAGCCUCAGUCACCAAAGGACAGGGAGCUGAAGCAGACUGUGACCCAUCGGUACCAAACGGACAAUGGGUGAAAAUACCCCGACCAGGACUGAAAGCAGGAGCUGAAGCAGCCGCUGGCACAAUGACUAAAGGUGAGGGAACAUUACAUUUUGUGUCGAUACAGUUUUAUCGUUCACAUUGUUUCUUUGAUUUGAUUAGUUUGGGAGAUUUGAAGCAGGAGCUGGAGAUUUAAACGCUUUACUGUUUUCACUAUUGAAGCCUAUUACCCAGUUUGUCUGUUGUGUUAUUAGGAUAUGGGGCCAGUGCUGGGGGAUAUGCAAAUGGAGGAGCAGCUAUAGCAAACACACCCGGUAAGGAGCCUCAUGCUGUGUAAGCGUAAAGGGUUGUUGAUACUGGGAUCUGGUUUUGAUUUACACUCUAAUGACUAAUGAUCUGUUUGCGUGACUUGACUUGCUGAUAACAGUGACUCACAUUUAACAAUAACACUGUGGGUCAAGGCCCUGAGAUAUGUAUGGAACCAUUACAGUGGAAGUGAGAUUUCUUGUAAUGAUGUGGUGAAUAUUUAUGUAGGUUUGUGUUCUUCUGCGUGUUUGGUUGCAUUCAGUGUAUCUGAGGGUUUUGUUUCUUCCAAAGCUAGCGCAGCAGCAGGCUUCGCUCUCCCUGGACUCUUUCCUGGAUAUGGACCUGGUAACAUUUCCUGUUCAUACAAACAAGCAUGAGCUGUGUGCAUUUCUUAUUUUACCCUAUGGAUUUAUGUCCUCAGGUCUUGGCUAUCCAUAUGCAGGAAAACCAAAGCAGCCUGGUUAGUGUGUGUUUUGUUUUUUUCUUAUUUUGCUGAAAUACGUUACGUUUGGCUUCAGAUCUUUGUGUUGCAUGCAGGUUACGGACACGGCGCGUACCUCGGGGCUGGAUAUGAAAAUGGAAAUUCCCAUAAAGGUCAGUGCCACAGCGGCUUCAUGUAAGGACUUAAUGAGCAUUUACAUGUCACCAUUGUUGCAGUGAGGUGGUUCCUUCUUUCAUGCAGGUUAUGGAAAUGGCUUCAGAGCAGGUGUGCAGCCGGAUUAUGCAAGUAAGUAACGGGAUUUGAAAUGUAUUCUAUUGUUUUAAUUACAGCAACAGCCAAUACUUGUCUUUUUUCCAGGCCUUGGACAAGCUACACCCAGUGUUGAUGCAAAAUCAGGUAUGAAACAUGCAGCUGUGCUACUGAUCCUCUUAUUUCUACCUUUAAAGCA
ensembl:lncRNA